rnacentral:rRNA from 1 species
UACGUAGGGACCAAGCGUUGUUCGGAUUUACUGGGCGUAAAGGGCGCGUAGGCGGCGCGGUAAGUCACUUGUGAAAUCUCUGAGCUUAACUCAGAACGGCCAAGUGAUACUGCAGUGCUAGAGUGUGGAAGGGGCAAUCGGAAUUCUUGGUGUAGCGGUGAAAUGCGCAGAUAUCAGGAGGAACACCGGUGGCGAAGGCGGAUCUCUGGGCCUUACCUGACGCUGAGGCGCGAAAGCUAGGGGAGCAAACAGG